UGGGGAAUAUUGCACAAUGGGGGAAACCCUGAUGCAGCGACGCCGCGUGAGCGAAGAAGUAUCUCGGUAUGUAAAGCUCUAUCAGCAGGGAAGAAAAUGACGGUACCUGACUAAGAAGCCCCGGCUAACUACGUGCCAGCAGCCGCGGUAAUACGUAGGGGGCAAGCGUUAUCCGGAUUUACUGGGUGUAAAGGGAGCGUAGACGGCAAUGCAAGUCUGAAGUGAAAGGACGGGGCUUAACCCUGUGACUGCUUUGGAAACUGUGUAGCUUGAGUGCCGGAGGGGUAAGCGGAAUUCCUAGUGUAGCGGUGAAAUGCGUAGAUAUUAGGAGGAACACCAGUGGCGAAGGCGGCUUACUGGACGGUAACUGACGUUGAGGCUCGAAAGCGUGGGGAGCAAACAGG
rnacentral:rRNA from 1 species